UGCAGUCGAACGAGAAAGUUUCCUUCGGGAAACGAGUACAGUGGCGAACGGGUGAGUAACGCGUGGGAAAUCUGCCCUUUUGUGGGGGAUAACAGUUCUAACGAGCUGCUAAUACCGCAUAAGCCCUUUGGAUCGCAUGGUCCGGAGGGGAAAGAUGGCCUCUACAUGUAAGCUGUCGUAGAAGGAUGAUCCCGCGUCCCAUUAGCUAGUUGGUGGGGUAAAAGCCUACCAAGGCGACGAUGGGUAGCCGGCCUGAGAGGGUGUCCGGCCACACUGGGACUGAGAUACGGCCCAGACUCCUACGGGAGGCAGCAGUCGAGAAGCUUCCGCAAUGGGGGAAACCCUGACGGAGCGACGCCGCGUGAGUGAAGAAGGCCCUAUGGGUUGUAAAGCUCUGUCAGAUUGGGAAGAAAACUUCACGGGGAAUAUCCGUGAAGCUUGACGGUACCAUCAGAGGAAGCACCGGCUAACUCCGUGCCAGCAGCCGCGGUAAUACGGAGGGUGCAAGCGUUGUUCGGAUUCACUGGGUAUAAAGGGUGCGCAGGCGGCCCAAUAAGUCAGGGGUGAAAUAUGACGGCUCAACCGUCAAACUGCCCCUGAAACUGUUGGGCUUGAGUUCGAGAGAGGUAGGUGGAAUUCCAGGUGUAGCGGUGAAAUGCGUAAAUAUCUGGAGGAACACCGGUGGCGAAGGCGGCCUACUGGCUCGAUACUGACGCUCAGGCACGAAAGCAUGGGGAGCGAACGGGAUUAGAUACCCCGGUAGUCCAUGCCGUAAACGAUGGGUACUAGGUGUUGGAGGAUUCUACCCCUUCAGUGCCGCAGCUAACGCAUUAAGUACCC
rnacentral:rRNA from 1 species